GGGAGUCGGCCCUGCCCGGCGGUUAAAUAUACUAAGCGGUUGCAACUAAGAGUUGUGCUAAGGUAGCACAAUAAAUUGUCCUUUAAAUGGGGAAUAGAAUGAAGGGGUUGACGAGGGAAAAGCUGUCUCUGUAGUAUGGUCUAAAGUUUUCUUUUAAGUGAAAAGACUUAAGUUUUGUAAUAAGAAGAGAAGACCCCGGCGAGCUUAAUUAAUAUCUUUAGUGGAGUAAAGGAGUACGAAUUUUUGUUGGGGCAGCACAAAAGGAUAUGAAUUCUUUUUGGAUGAAAUGAUGAGGAUCCAUUUUUGAAUGAAAUAAGCAAAAGCUACCGCGGGGAUAACAGCGCAAUUCUGUCUUAGAGCUCAUAUCGAAGAAAGAGUUUGCGACCUCGAUGUUGGAUUAAAGUUUCUUUUUGGUGUAGAAGCUAAAAAAGAGGGCCUGUUCGUCCCUUAAAUUUUU
rnacentral:rRNA from 1 species